AUAUUUUCUGUUUUACAGGCAAAAUCAAAUCAUUGAUUCUGAAAUACAGUUAUGUUGUGGAAUAUUUAGUUCUCUCAGUUGUUGUUUAUUCAGCUCUUUUUACAAGUGCUUGGCAAAAACUUCUGAAUUAUGAUGUGUUUGAAAGAGCCAUGAUAAUAGUGCUGUUUGUGAUAGUGUUUGUGUGCUGCCUCUGCAAAAUCACUUACAUUUUAGUUACAGAGGUUGGGAAGAAAAGUGGACGGAUAGUUCAAAUAUUUGGCAUUGUUGCUGAUAUGACCUUUCAAAUUCUGCCGACUUUACAAUUCAUCCUCCUCUUCUACACGUUUGGAGCUGGCGGUGAAGCAGGGUUGAUCAUGAUUGUGAUUUUACCAGUGUUACUGAUGAUGAUAACAACUGAGAGAUGGCUUUAUAAAUGCUAUGACAGUGAUGGGCUCAACUUAUCAGAAUCAGUCGUGAAGACAGUGAUGUUAAUCUUCACAUUAGUGACGAAUGCAGUGAUGAUCGGCCUUUACAUAUUCACUCUGGAAAAUCAAACAGGUACAGUGUUACGUCCCAGGGCCUACUUAAGUG